rfam:Schistosoma curassoni strain Dakar, Senegal genome assembly, scaffold: SCTD_contig0007165
AUCCAGCUGACGAAUCCCAAAUAGGACGAAACGCAGGUUCUGGAU